AGAGCGUUUCUCCUUUAUAAUCUACUAAAAAGGGGCUAUCGUUGCAAAUUUGGAGUGCUGAGAAAAUGGAGGAGGAGAAUACAGUGAAAAUGGGGCAGACAUUCAUGAAAUCAUUCCCUGGAGUGGUAGCAACUGGAGGCAGAGAGACUUCUCUAUGAAGGCAUCACAUUGUCAUUGGCAUACAGAAUUAUUACAGGAUCUGGUUUGCACCUUGAAGGCUUAUUAACAGAAAUGUAAAACAGUGGGGGGCAUUUUUAAAUGCCUGAAUUUGUGCAGAAUCAGUCUUAAGACCUAAUUAAGUAUUUUAAUGAAUAUGUAUAAAAAAGCAUAUUUAUGGUAGCUUAUUACAGAUGGAGGUAAAGCCCAGGAUUGAUAUAUACACACACACACACACAGAUUUUUAUUUUGUUGUUAUAAGAAUAUUGUUCGUUUGAAUUACUGAAAUGCAAGUUACACCUAUAUAUAUAUAUAUAUAUAUAUAUAUAUAUAUAUAUAUAUAUAUAUAUAAUCUACAUACAAAGAUACUGAAUAUUUGUGCAGUUAAUUUUUGUGCAUCUGAAUGAAAACAAGAUACUUUGAAUAUUCCCUUUGACUACUUUUCUGGGUCAUUACUGCUGUUUUGCAAAGUGCUGUUUGAAGCUCUCAGUAAAUCACUGAGUUGCUUUCCACUUUCGCUCCUUUGGUUCCACUUCUGUACACACAAUCCAUUUUCUGAAUGAAACACAGCUCCCUAAGCAGCAUCACUUUACUUGAUAAUAUGUGGUGUGUGUAUGUCACAAGAAACACACGAUUUUACAUGCUGUAAUGACAUAGCAAGCAGUACAGCUAAGCAGAAUUACGAAUAGUGUAGAUUUGAGUUCCAUCCAAGACGCAUGUAAUGCUGCUGUUAUGAAUGAUAUUAAUUACUAAUGUUAAUGUUUUACUCAGAUACAACAAAGCCAUAUCAAGCAAAAUAAAUGAAAAAAGAAUGAGAGGAAUGUGAAUGAUGGUAAGCAUACAGAGACGGGCAAUCAAGCCAUCUGGUACCUUUUCAGGAAAUCACUUUAUAUUAAUAUAGAUUCACGGAUCUGGAGAAUAGCAUGGUCAGGCCUCUUAAUAAAAAUAGGAAUAACAAAAACUAUAAAGAUCAAGGAUAGACAACUAACAUCUAAACUCUCAAGUGGAUGAAUUAGUCAGAAAUUUGGCAAAUUUCUAUUUGGGCAUUUUAAAAAUAUUGUUUUUCCAAUGGAAGGCAGAAUUUUGUACAUACCCCAUGCAGGGACAAUGCCUCCUGCAUCCUUGUUACUUACCAUAGCCAGGUCUAAAUUUAUUGCACCGACAUACAUCCACUAACUGAUUUAGGCUUUGCUCCCUUUUCUCAGUUCAGCCAAAGCGAUGAUGGCGGAAGGUUUUACCCAUACUCAAGCACACCACAGUAACAAGGAAACAUUUGGAAGUGAGACUUGAGGGAUAAUUAAGAAUGCCUAAAGACAUGUGGAGCAUAUGCUUUGAGACUUCAGAAUGUGUUUGUGAUAUUGCCCCAGUUUUGAUUUGGUUGUAACUGGCUGCCUGUAGGUGUUUUUUUGUAUUGUCUGGAUUUUUUUUUUUUGCUAUUUUAUUUUUAUCACACACUUGCUAGUAGUAGUAAUAAUCAAAAGUAAUAUUAAAAUUAUACAUGUAUUUAAAA